GCCGAAGCGGAGCCUCGGAGGAGGCGGGAUGAUCGAGAGGGGGGCGGUGAUAGUUUCCAUGGGGAUCAGGGGACGCGGCUAAAACUAAAAUUUCAAUUGGAAAAAGCGAAGGCACGUGAUGUCCACGAGAUAAUUUCCUUCCAAGUCAGCCCAGUGGGCGUUCACUUGAGAAGUUUUAAUACUUCCUUCUUCCUCGUUCUGCUGAACUUCUGGGCGGUAUUCCCUGAACCCUUCCUCUGGGGCUCGCCGGGCCUUCCCUAGAUCCUCUUGUUAUUUUGUACUUCUGUGGAUUUCAAACCAACCAACCAACCAGUGAAACCUAAUAUUGAAAUAAGGCUCGAAAGAAGACCUCUGUCGCAUACAUAUCAUGUACAGAGUAAACCUGUCACCUCCUAUUAGACUGUGAGCUCCUUGAAGGCAGGCACUGUGCUGAGCGCAUUGAAAAACAUACAUGAUCUCAUUUAAUCCUCAAAAUAACCCUGAGAGGUUGUUGUUGUUGGUGGUCUCUCAAACCGAGGAUGAUGAUUGUCUUUGUGAGUUUUUGUGCACAAAGACACCUGUGCAUGAAGAUUUAAGUGGAAAAAUCGAUGCACAGAGACAGUCCCACUCUCUCGGCGUUGGAAGCCUGGGUCCAGUGGCAUGAAAUGUCGUUACACCUGGAGACUUCCUCAGCUGCAUUGGAUGGCUGUGUUGUCUUUUGUGCUCCAUCACGCCCUAAGCACUCCACAGUGCCUUGCUGCAUCGCCAUCUCAGCCGUUGAACCUUCUUGUUGGUUUCUUCCGCCUGUUCCACCGAAGCAGUCUUCACAUGCUGGAUGAGCAAAGCCCUGGUUCACCAGGGGUCGACGACCUGAUGGCUACCCUCACAAGGUUUGGCCAGCCUGUCGAAGCCGUUGCCCGGGGUGUGGCCGUUGCCACAUGCUAGCAGCUACUGGGAGCCACAAGUGAGAGCUGGGUGUCAGGUGAGGGUCAGUGGCUAGAGAGCUGCCCUAGGAGGGCACGACAAGCCCUCCAUACCAGAGAUAUUACCCCUCCCUGAGCACCCCAUACACCCCUGAGAGGUAGGUGCUGUUAUAUUCCCACUUUACAGAUGAAGAAACUGAGACAGACAUCUGUGAAGUGACUUGCUCUGGUGGAUAAAGCACCAUCAGGAGGACCUGGGAUCAAAGUUGGCCAGAUGCUUCCUCGCUGUGGGACCCUGAGUAAGUCACUUAAACUCAAUUGCUUAACCCUUGUGGUUCUUCCUUCUUAGAACUGAUACUAAGUCAGAAAGUAAGGAUUAAAAAAAAAGAUAAUAAUAAAUUAAAUUAAGUGACUUGCUCAGGAUCAAACAACUAAGUAUCUGAGGCUUCAUUUGAACUCAAUUCUUUCUGAUGAUCUCAUCAUUGUGAAUGUUCCCAUUCCAUAUUCCAGGUACUGCUAGAAAUCAAGGAUAGAAACAAUUCCUCCUUUCAAUGCGCUUAUAGUGAGGCAAAUAGAAGCUCAGCCCACACCAGUGGCUUUAUAUUGUCUCCAGGAUAAAGGAGAAACUCCUACCCCCAUCUAUUGCUCCAGGCUCUUUGGAUAUCACUGGCCCUCUUCUACUCUGUGAGCCAAACUAGUCUCUCUGAUCCUCACACAGGAAACUCCAUCUCCCACCUCCUUGACUUUGCCUGGGCUGUGUCCCAUGCCUGGAAUGAAUUCACUUUUUACCUCUGCCUAAUGGAGUCCCUUUCUCACUUUAAGAGGUAGCUUGGGCUCCAACUUCUGCAUGGAGCCUUCCUUUCAAAUACCUGAAUACAACUGUCUUCUCUUCUUCAGGAUAAAUAUCUUUUGUUCAUUUGGCAACCAAAGAGUCCUUCAUGGAAAACCCACCAUGUGUUAGACAAUGGACUAAGCACUGGAGAUACCAACAUGAUCCAAGCCAGGGUACCUGGUCAGAUGGGUGGACAAACCCAAUACAUAAAACCUUCCUUCCCCCUCUCUCAUCAGAGCCUAAUCCUUGGACCUGUCUGAUGAUCAUUUCCAGUUUCCUUCCUAAUCUGGCUGGAAGUGGGCGGUGCUAAUGGAUUGGGGGGGGGGGGGGGGCGUUUGAUUAAGAGCAACCUGGUGCCAGGGUUUACUGCUGCUGCUGCUAGCUAGAGCUGACAUUAGAGAACACCUGGCCUUUGAGGUUGCUGAGGAUAUUAUGAGCCUUCCUGGACAUCAAGGAAGCCUGGCACAAAUACCUUAUGGGAGGGAGUAGCUAGAAGGCUCAAGGGGUGGAGAGCCAGGCCUAGAGACAGGAGGUCCCAGGUUCAAAUUUGACCUCAGAUACUUCCUAGCUAUGUGACCCUGGGCAAAUCACUUAAUUUUUAUUUUAUUUAAUUUAUUAAUUAGAAUAUUUUUCAAUGGUUACAAGAUUCAUUUUCUUUCCCUCCCCUCCUUCCACCCCCCUCCCCUAGCCAACAAGCAAUUCCACUGGGUUUUACAUGUGUAUUGAUCAAGACCUAUUUCCAUAUUAUUGAUGUUUGCACUAGGAUAUCACUUAGAGUCUACAUCUCCAAUCAUAUCCCCUCAACCCAUGUGAUCAAGCAGUUGUUUUUCUUCUGUGUUUCUACUCCCACAGUUUUUCCCCUUGAUGUGGAUAGAUGGUACUAUCACAGCUAGCAAAGUAAUUUGUCAUCAUUAUGAGAAACUGAGGGUAAUUAAGACAUUGUGUAGUCCAGAGAUGGGAUAAGAUGUAGUCUCUGAGUUUUCUUUAGUUCCCCUAUUUCUAUUCCCUUGUUAAUACUGAUCAAUGAGGAACCUGAAGGUUUGAUUUACUUCUUUGUCCGAUUAGAAUGAAUGGUUGGGAUAUUGAAAGUUUAGGAAUCAAAGAUGUAGAUUUGUCAGUGAGGGAGUUUGAUAGAGGUCCAGGCUAGAAAUGGGUUGCUUAGAGUCACAAGGACUAUAGAGUCAAGAGAUCUUAUGAUUCCAAGUCUAAGGGAGCUCCAAACUAUAAUGUUUCCAGAAGAAAAUAUUCAUUUUGAAUCUUAGGAUGGUCUCCAUGGGGGAACUGGCUGCCCUGGUCUGAGCCAUUUGGACCAAACUUUGGAAUUAGUUCUGGGUUACUUUGGAUAGAUUCAUGGGCUAUGCUUGGACCAUCUCCAAUAAAUUCAAUAGCCAGUGAUGAGUUAUCUCAAGAGGACAAAGUCAAGUUUGACAAUCUCCAAUCUCAAAAUCUGGGAAGCUUCAGCCUACAAAACCUCUAGGGAUUGCCCAGGAGAACAUUGAUGGCCAAGUGUAGCAUGUAAAGAUAAACAACUUUAAAGGACUUCAGAAUCUAAUCAAUACAGUGACCACUGGGCCACUUGGGGGAAAGGGAAUAUAUGAAAGACAAGACAAGCUAUUUCAGGCUAAUUUUUCUCUUGGGCAGACAGAGAAGGAUUCAUCCAAAAAUAACGAGACAGAUUGUCUCUCCCUUAGAGAUUCUAGAAGUCUUCAAACAGGGAAUACUAGCCAAAGAUGAUCUGUACAGGAAGAAUGAAGUAGGAGUCAGUCAAGGCUGGGAUUUCCUAGAACAGGCAACAUAGCCAGGAUAAACAACUUAGAAAAGUUGGCCAAUUAGAGUGGUGUAACAUUUCCCAUCUGUGUGACCCUGAGCAAGUCACUCACCCCUACUUGCCUAAACUUCCCCUUCUGACUUUUUUUUUUAAACCCUGACCUUUUGUCUAAAAAUGUGCUGGGAGCCAUCAAAGACCACACUGUUUGACACAGUCAGACAUGGAAACUAGGGACUGCAAAGCAGCCCCAAGGAAGGAUGGAAUCAUCCACUGAAACUCCCCUAAGUGAUUUUCCUUAUUAAUGUCCCCCCAGAAUAUUACCAGGAGAUCCCACUUACAAAAUUAAACCUAAGGAUUCUUAUAUAUACACUUAGAUAGGACCCUCUUUUCUAGGCAUGAAAACUUCUGGCAAAUCUGUGCUCCGAAUUCCCCAACCUAUAUCUGGGUCAUGUUGAUUCUAUCCUCUGACCCUGCACUGUAACAGUUAAAAUUUAGGAAUAUGGGGAGACUGAGGCAGGUAGAAAUUACUUUCUGCAAGGAGUAUUAUAUUUUUUUAGAGGUUUAUUAAAGGUUAAAGAUUAAAGAAUAUACAAGUAAGAAACAUGUGCCUAGGCCAGAGGCCUAGACAAAAUAACCUCACAUCACACAAGAGACAUGUCUGCUCCAAAAUGGAAGUCCAAAAGCCACCCCUCAAAAGCCUUUGAAUCAGCUUAAAUACCUUCUCGAUCUUGGCCCAGGUGAGAUUACAAGGCAUUCUGGGGAAGUGGAGCAAAGGCUUGUGGGGAUUGUAGUCCUGUAUUCGAGUCUAUUUUUUACAGCACUUAGCAACAAUGUUUUGUUGGCUAUCUCCUUAGGCUUCACAUCUGUUGUUAGGUUUUAUGGAAACAUAUAUGACUUUAUUGUGGGGUUUUCCUUAAUGGAUUUCCCUGACCAGCAGGGUCCCACAAGGGAAGGGGCUCACCUCACCGCUCACCUUUGUGAUGGGACCCGAGGAGAGGUAGGAACCGAGGAGAGGUAGGGACCGAGAACCAGGGUGGAAAUGAAAGACACGGACAAGUCAGUGGUUGGAUAGGGCAGGCAAUCCCUAUGAUACUCCCUUUGAUAGGAAAGUAUGAGUACAAAGGAACACGAGGUAGAUGAGGAGAUUAAGAUAGGAAAUGCAGGCCGAGAUGGUUACAGCCUCCAGGAAGGAGAAGGUCAAGAGGAGAGAGAUAGUCAUUGAGGAGCUCAGUGGAGCUCCAUGGAAGGGGAGAAAGGCCAAGAGGAAGUUCAUUGGUUUGCCUCUGAAUUUAUUCCUGUCCUGCCUGGGCGGUACUCCCAAGGACAUAGUACCCACAUCACAAAGUAUAGACAAUCAAGAUUGGGUGGCAAGGUAGAGAGAACACCUUUGGGCGUAUAGAUUGCAAACCGUGCUUUCCUGGGGAAUUGAGUCCGAGCAUGUUAAUGAGUUUGUCUUAGCCAAGGGCCGCAUGGCCAGUUCAAGGUUACAUUCACAAGCCUCAUUGGUAUAACCUUAUGCUUGGAGACACAGUCGCCAUACAGUCAUUUAUAUUUCAUAGAUGUGAAUAUGCUUGGGAUGCUACACUUUAUAAAAAAAAUUUCUUCUAAUCUUUAUAGAUUAAAUUACUUUAAUUGAACAUAGGAUAGAGUGGAACAGCCCAGAAGGAGCAGAGAAACUACAGAACUGGGACUCAGGCCAUUGGAGUAGAAUAGAAUUAGAAUAGAGAAUAGAGAAGUGCCUAAAUGAGGGUAUCACUGGCAUCAUAAAAAUUGUAAUUUCUAGGACUGGGUGGGUAACGAGGGUUAGGAGAAGGAGUCAAAGAUUCCAUGGAGAUUUCAAAUAUGAGCUAUGUAGCAUACCAGGCAUGUUAGCAUCUGGAAAGUAUGGUUGAUGUAUUGAUAUUGUAUCCUGUAUAUGCAUUUACCAAACACAUGGUCAGACCUCUUAAUGUUCAUUGUAUGGAAAGGGACAGUCCAAAGGACUAGCAUAGGACAGGCAAAUUCAUGGGCUGGGCCUUGACUGCCACGAUUCCUUGGCAGGUUCAAUUAGGGUGCUGACUGCCAUGCCUGGGCUUGGACUACAUUCAUUUGCAAAGCACUGGUUGGAUUAAUCUCCACCUCUUUGAUCUUGUCAUUGUCAGUUCAACCAAUGUUAAUACCUAUGCCAUGUUACAUAUUCUUUGAUCUCCUCCCAAUCCACAUUCCUAAAACCUCUAAUAAAUACUGGGAAACAAAUGCAAA